UUUUAUGAGAGUUUGAUCCUGGCUCAGGACGAACGCUGGCGGCGUGCCUAAUACAUGCAAGUCGAACGCUUCUUUUUCCACCGGAGCUUGCUCCACCGGAAAAAGAAGAGUGGCGAACGGGUGAGUAACACGUGGGUAACCUGCCCAUCAGAAGGGGAUAACACUUGGAAACAGGUGCUAAUACCGUAUAACAAUCAAAACCGCAUGGUUUUGAUUUGAAAGGCGCUUUCGGGUGUCGCUGAUGGAUGGACCCGCGGUGCAUUAGCUAGUUGGUGAGGUAACGGCUCACCAAGGCCACGAUGCAUAGCCGACCUGAGAGG
rnacentral:rRNA from 1 species